rnacentral:rRNA from 1 species
UACGGAGGGUGCAAGCGUUGCUCGGAAUUAUUGGGCGUAAAGGGUAGGUAGGUGGUCUCAUUUGUCUGAGGUGAAAGCCUUGAGCUUAACUCAAGAAGUGCCUCGGAAACGGUGAGACUCGAGUACUGGAGAGGUGAGUGGAAUUCCCGGUGUAGCGGUGAAAUGCGUAGAGAUCGGGAGGAACACCAGAGGCGAAGGCGGCUCACUGGACAGUAACUGACACUCAACUACGAAAGCGUGGGUAGCAAACAGG